UACGUAGGGUGCGAGCGUUGCCCGGAUUUAUUGGGCGUAAAGGGCGCGUAGGCGGCCACGCACGUCCGUUGUGAAAUCGCCCGGCUCAACUGGGCGGGGUCAGCGGAUACGGUGUGGCUCGAGCAAGCUAGGGGGCAAUGGAAUUCCCGGUGUAGUGGUGGAAUGCGUAGAUAUCGGGAGGAACACCAGUGGCGAAGGCGGUUGCCUGGAGCUUUGCUGACGC
rnacentral:rRNA from 1 species